AUUGAACGCUGGCGGCAGGCCUAACACAUGCAAGUCGAACGAGUGGCGGACGGGUGAGUAAUGUCUGGGAAACUGCCUGAUGGAGGGGGAUAACUACUGGAAACGGUAGCUAAUACCGCAUACCAUCGGAUGUGCCCAGAUGGGAUUAGCUAGUAGGUGGGGUAAAGGCUCACCUAGGCGACGAUCCCUAGCUGGUCUGAGAGGAUGACCAGCAUCUGUGGAACUUAGACACGUGCCAGACUCCUACGGGAGGCAGCAGUGGGGAAUAGUGCACAGUGGGCGCAAGCCUGAUGCAGCCAUGCCGCGUGUAUGAAGAAGGCCUUCGGGUUGUAAAGUACUUUCAGCGGGGAGUCGUUACCCGCAGAAGAAGCACCGGCGAACUCCGUGCCAGCAGCCGCGGUAAUUC
rnacentral:rRNA from 1 species